CAUAAAUGUGGGCUGAGCAUUGUGGGCUGCUUGUGGAACUGUGCGUGUGGAUGAUAUGUGACUUUGUGUGUGCUUGUGGGGUUGUGUGUGUAUGUGGAUUGUCAGUGGUGUUGUGCUUCUAGUGACUGUGUGUGUUUGUGUGUGGGCUGUUUGUAUUAUUUGUAUGAGAGGUAGGCUGAUUCUGCAGCUCUGUGUAUACCUAAUGGUGUGG